CGAAGUUACUUAAGUGAUGUCUUGAAUCAAAUCUUGUUUCAAAUUAUGAGAAAUAUCAUUUUAUGGUAUAUCAAGGAUUAAUUCUGGGACACAGAGGGUCUUCAAGGGGGGAUCGAGGUGGAUAAAGCAAAAAUUGAUGUGAUUAAAUUUUUACCUUAUCCUGUGAGCAUAUGGAAAGUUUAAUUUUUUUUUGGACAUGCAUGAUUCUAUAGGUGCAUCACAAAAGAUUUUUUUAAGAUCACCCG
rnacentral:lncRNA from 1 species